rnacentral:rRNA from 1 species
GAUGAACGCUGGCGGCGUGCCUAAUACAUGCAAGUCGAGCGAACAGACGAGGAGCUUGCUCCUCUGACGUUAGCGGCGGACGGGUGAGUAACACGUGGAUAACCUACCUAUAAGACUGGGAUAACUUCGGGAAACCGGAGCUAAUACCGGAUAAUAUAUUGAACCGCAUGGUUCAAUAGUGAAAGACGGUUUUGCUGUCACUUAUAGAUGGAUCCGCGCCGCAUUAGCUAGUUGGUAAGGUAACGGCUUACCAAGGCGACGAUGCGUAACCGACCUGAGAGGGUGAUCGGCCACACUGGAACUGAGACACGGUCCAGACUCCUACGGGAGGCAGCAGUAGGGAAUCUACCGCAAUGGGCGAAAGCCUGACGGAGCAACGCCGCGUGAGUGAUGAAGGUCUUCGGAUCGUAAAACUCUGUUAUUAGGGAAGAACAAAUGUGUAAGUAACUAUGCACGUCUUGACGGUACCUAAUCAGAAAGCCACGGCUAACUACGUG